AAUGAAGAGUUUUAUCCUUGUAGUGACCAAUGGAUUAGGUGGCUCUGUAUCUCUUCAAACCUGGCUGUUAUGAUUAGCACGGAUUUGGCCUUUCUCUGCCUCUGUGGUGGAUAGUGGAGUGUUUCCCAUGUGGUAUUGGUGUGCUGGAUAUCCCUUCACUGGUAGCCUGGUAACAUACACUCCCAGGUCUUUCUCUGCCUCUGUGGUGGAUAGUGGAGUGUUUCCCAUGUGGUAUUGGUGUGCUGGAUAUCCCUUCACUGGUAGCCUGGUCACAUACACUCCCAGGUCUUUCUCUGCCUCUGUGGUGGAUAGUGGAGUGUUUCCCAUGUGGUAUUGGUGUGCUGGAUAUCCCUUCACUGUGUCAGGACCCAGAAGACGAGGAAACAGAGGAGUGAGAUAUACAACUGUGUAAAUAUCUGACAGGACAAACAUUAACAAAAAAGGUGACAUAUAUAUAAGUGUAAACAUCUCAAGUACAAAAGAGGGGAAACAACGAGGGUAAAGGAAAACAAAAAAAAAACAAAAAUAAAUAAAUAUGCACACUUGCAGUGGAAAAAACGGAAAAUGAGCGAAGAACAAAACAGAGAGUAACCUUUAAUAUAAUAAGAUGAAGGCUAUAACGAACAAGGGAGUAACCUUUAAUAUAAUAAGAUGAAGGCUAUAACGAAGAAGGGAGUAACCUUUAAUAUAAUAAGAUGAAGGCUAUAACGAACAAGGGAGUAACCGCCUCACAUAAAUAUAAGGAAAAGAAGGCUAUAACGAACAAGGGAGUGACCUUAAAAAUAAUGACAAGAAGGCUAUAAUUAACAUAACUCAAGAGUAACUUU